rnacentral:rRNA from 1 species
GAUGAACGCUGGCGGCGUGCCUAAUACAUGCAAGUCGAGCGAACGGACGAGAAGCUUGCUUCUCUGAUGUUAGCGGCGGACGGGUGAGUAACACGUGGAUAACCUACCUAUAAGACUGGGAUAACUUCGGGAAACCGUAGCUAAUACCGGAUAAUAUUUUGAACCGCAUGGUUCAAUAGUGAAAGACGGUCUUGCUGUCACUUAUAGAUGGAUCCGCGCUGCAUUAGCUAGUUGGUAAGGUAACGGCUUACCAAGGCAACGAUGCAUAGCCGACCUGAGAGGGUGAUCGGCCACCCUGGAACUGAGACACGGUCCAGACUCCUACGGGAGGCAGCAGUAGGGAAUCUUCCGCAAUGGGCGAAAGCCUGACGGAGCAACGCCGCGUGAGUGAUGAAGGUCUUCGGAUCGUAAAACUCUGUUAUUAGGGAAGAACAUAUGUGUAAGUAACUGUGCACAUCUUGACGGUACCUAAUCAGAAAGCCACGGCUAACUACGUG